GAAGGCGGUGGCCACUUCCCCCCUCCCCGAACUCCCCCGUGCACUCACGAUCUCCAGGAAGAUGACGGCUCCCGAGAAGCUUCAUGAUGUAAAAGAGGACCAGUCCAGCCAGUCGCAGAGGAACUCACGUUCAGCAGCACAGGCAGGAGGAUUUGCUAAAUGCUGCCAGUGCAGGACGCAGCACAGCACCAUGCCAUUGGUACUGCUGGUAGCGUGGGUCUCUUCUCACUCUGUCAUCACUCAAGGCUUGAUCUACUAAUCUUUACUCAUAAUGUGUUGACCUCUGAUCUUA